rnacentral:lncRNA from 1 species
CCGGCGGGAGGCGCCGCGAAAUGGCGGUCGGGAGCGGCGUGGCUCUGGGGUGGCUGCCCUGAGGCCGGGCCCGCUGGCGCCGAGUGUGAGCGUGGUGCUGUCAUUGUGAUCAGCAGGCAUCCAGUGUGAGCAUUCAGCGCAGCUAUCUGCAGAGAGGUUCAAAUUGCAGGAUAUGGAAGCACCUAGGAGCAAAAACCCCAGUAUUCAUUUCAGUGCAUGUAUAGAGUGCUUAGAGCCCAGGCUGUCACCUACCACAGGACAGAGCACAGAGAGAAAUGGCAGUAUUGUGGCUGAGCUCUCCUGUCACUGACCAACAGGACAUUGAGACGAGACAGAUGCAAUGAUACACGCAUUCACAGGUGCAGCAGAAGGAAAGGAAGACUUCUGUCAACGAUUAUCUAUGCAAGCUGCAAAAGCAGCAUUUGCAGUAGCUCUCCUGGGCCCUGAGAGUGCUUCGUGAGGCGUGCUGAGAUGGAUAGGAUUUAUAAACCGUGGAUGGGUAUUUCCUACAGUGCAGCGCUCUCGGCAGCGCUAUUCCAUGAGGCUCUCUGUAGAAGACAUAUAUGUUCAUGAAAACAUUUUAUAGCCCUGUUGUGCUGGGAUUAAUAUCAGAUAAGAAAGUUCAGACCACGUGUACUUUGUUCUUCCCAGCACAUUUCUAAGUCCGCAAAUAGGAAGGAGCCCACGGGAGCAUAUGACUAUUAAGUAACUAAUAUACUUCCCAGUUGAUGCAAUUUUGGCAUUUCAUAGUUUUCACAAUAAUUUACAGACAGUGCAGUUCUUCAGAAGCAGACAGCAUCUGCGUGCACUUUGAAAGAUGGUGUCUCAAUCUACAGAUACACAGCUGUGAGUGAUGUGCCUUGUUAUAUACAAGCUGCAAGUCAGCACUGUAUGUGCUGUUACACUGAAUGUCACUGACUGAGCCCGGUGGUACUCAGUCACCCAAACGUGCUCUGCUUUCCCUUCACACUGCCAUAGGGGUGUACCUGAUAAAGCACCACAGCACUGAUGUUUUGUACUGGACAAGAGCAGCUCACGCUGCAUUACGCACUGUAUUGCCACAGCCAGCAGUGCACACACGGAGCCUUUCUGUCUGCCUUGGGGAACUUUUGGUAACUUUUGGCCACGUCCUGCUUUGAUGGAGUCAGUGUUUGAGCCAACCAAAACCACACGAGCUGUGCUCCCAGGAAGGAGUAUGGUAAGCUAAGCGAGUUGUGGGGAAGCUCUUAAAAGGGGAACUGAACUCGUUGUGCUGAACAUGUUUUGUUUUAUAUUAGCCUUAUAAUUUUAGGCCUAAUGUUUGGUUUGGAAGCUCAAAGCCAUGCUUGAGCCUGCAGCUGCCAGCUCAAGAAGAGGCUGUGGUGUAAUAGUCAUUUAAUUCCUCCGUGCUGUAAUCUGAUGGUGGGAUGUGCUCCCAAGCAGCUUUUAGGUCUGACUGGGGAACAAAAUCA